CACGUAGUUAGCCGUGACUUUCUGAUUGGAUACCGUCACUGCGUGAACAGUUACUCUCACGCACGUUCUUCUCCAACAACAGAGCUUUACGAGCCGAAACCCUUCUUCACUCACGCGGUGUUGCUCCAUCAGGCUUGCGCCCAUUGUGGAAGAUUCCCUACUGCUGCCUCCCGUAGGAGUAUGGACCGUGUCUCAGUUCCAUUGUGGCCGAUCAGUCUCUCAACUCGGCUAUGCAUCAUCGCCUUGGUAAGCCGUUACCUUACCAACUAGCUAAUGCACCGCGGGCCCAUCCUGAAGUGAUAGCCGAAGCCAUCUUUAGAAACGAAACCAUGUGGUUUCGUUGUUAUGCGGUAUUAGCACCUUGUUUCCAGAUGUUACUCCCCCGCUUCGAGGGCUAGGGUUCGCCCUACGUUCGUUAACUCCACCCCGGUUCCGCCGCUCACGUGGGAACUCCAACGUCAAUUCAGUGACAAGCACGUCAUUAUUAGGUUGGGCCUAGGUCGCG
rnacentral:rRNA from 1 species